CAAACUUUAAAGCUAUUUUGAAGUACAGGGAAAUUCAGAAGGAUCUGGUCUUUCUAGCAUGAGGAGUUAUUUCAGGAAGGAAAACAAGAAAUAUCAUAAAGAACUGACCCUUGCUACUGACAAAAAUGCAUAGGUGCAGGACAUAUGAAGGAGAAUGCUAUUGGAGCUGCUAAUGGGAAGGCGUUGUACCUAUAUCAGACCAAGCUACAAACAGGUCUCUCAGAAUGCUCAGGCUGCACCAGAUCAUUAAAGAACUUCCAUCAGAAACAGUGGAAGAAGCUGAUAGGGAAGAAGGCAACUGGAAGACAUCCCAAUCAGCAGUUAUCACGGUUUACCAGUAUUGGUGGUGAUUAAAUCCACAGCACAGACUAAACUUGCAUUAAAGUAAGUAGCUUCAGUAAUGGACUGCUGUCUUCUGCCUGGGCCCAAUUUCUUGUUCUGCACAAACACAUGCCUUAAAGUGCAGUUUCAAACCACACGGGCAGCUACUGUUGGAAGAGGCGCUGCUGCCACUACCGUCCCGCACACGGCAUUGCCUCUCUGCUGCCCUGCGUUA
rnacentral:lncRNA from 1 species